rnacentral:rRNA from 1 species
CACUCCUACGGGAGGCAGCAGUGGGGAAUUUUGGACAAUGGGCGAAAGCCUGAUCCAGCAAUGCCGCGUGAGUGAAGAAGGCCUUCGGGUUGUAAAGCUCUUUUGUCAGGGAAGAAACGGUGAGAGCUAAUAUCUCUUGCUAAUGACGGUACCUGAAGAAUAAGCACCGGCUAACUACGUGCCAGCAGCCGCGGUAAUACGUAGGGUGCAAGCGUUAAUCGGAAUUACUGGGCGUAAAGCGUGCGCAGGCGGUUUUGUAAGUCUGAUGUGAAAUCCCCGGGCUCAACCUGGGAAUUGCAUUGGAGACUGCAAGGCUAGAAUCUGGCAGAGGGGGGUAGAAUUCCACGUGUAGCAGUGAAAUGCGUAGAUAUGUGGAGGAACACCGAUGGCGAAGGCAGCCCCCUGGGUCAAGAUUGACGCUCAUGCACGAAAGCGUGGGGAGCAAACAGGAUUAGAUACCCUGGUAGUCCCA